rnacentral:rRNA from 1 species
UACGUAGGGGGCUAGCGUUGUCCGGAUUUAUUGGGCGUAAAGAGCGUGUAGGCGGUUAGGUAGGUCCGUUGUGAAAACUCGAGGCUCAACUUCGAGCUGUCGGUGGAAACUUUCUGGCUAGAGUCCGGAAGAGGAGAAUGGAAUUCCUGGUGUAGCGGUGAAAUGCGCAGAUAUCAGGAAGAACACCCGUGGCGAAGGCGGUUCUCUGGGACGGUACUGACGCUGGAGAACGGCGAAAGCUAGGGGAGCAAACGGG